CUUGACGACCAUAGAGCCUUGGAACCACCUGAUCCCAUCCCGAACUCAGUAGUGAAACGA
rnacentral:rRNA from 1 species